rnacentral:rRNA from 1 species
GAUGAAUGCUGGCGGCGUGGAUGAGGCAUGCAAGUCGAAUGAAUUUAGAUUCAUGGCAGACGAGGUAGGAACACGUAGGUACGUACCCUAAAGUCAGGGAUAACCUGUCGAAAGGCAGAAUAAUACUUGAUGGUCCCUUCGGGGUAAAGAUUUAUCGCUUUAGGAACGGCCUGCGGUCUAUCAGCUUGUUGGUAAGGUAACGGCUUACCAAGGCUACGACGGAUAGGGGAGGUGAGAGCCUGACCCCCACCGAUGGAACUGCGACACGGUCCAU